AUCCCAUGAUGAGGACAGGAGAGUAUGUAUUCUUGCAAUCUCUCCCAAGCUUCUGGGAUGUAUUUCAUCCCCGUCUGCUGGAAACAUGAAAUUCUUCCAUGUAGGGC